UACGAAGGGGGCUAGCGUUGUUCGGAAUCACUGGGCGUAAAGCGCGUGUAGGCGGAUAUGCAAGCAAGAGGUGAAAGCCCAGGGCUUAACCUUGGAACUGCCUUUUGAACUGCAUAUCUGGAGUUUUGGAGGGGAGUGUGGAAUUCCUAAUGUAGAGGUGAAAUUCGUAGAUAUUAGGAGGAACACCGGUGGCGAAGGCGGCACUCUGGACAAAUACUGACGCUGAGACGCGAAAGAGUGGGGAGCAAACAGG
rnacentral:rRNA from 1 species